AAAUUGAAGAGUUUGAUCAUGGCUCAGAUUGAACGCUGGCGGCAGGCCUAACACAUGCAAGUCGAACGGUAACAGGAAGAAGCUUGCUUCUUUGCUGACGAGUGGCGGACGGGUGAGUAAUGUCUGGGAAACUGCCUGAUGGAGGGGGAUAACUACUGGAAACGGUAGCUAAUACCGCAUAACGUCGCAAGACCAAAGAGGGGGACCUUCGGGCCUCUUGCCAUCGGAUGUGCCCAGAUGGGAUUAGCUAGUAGGUGGGGUAAAGGCUCACCUAGGCGACGAUCCCUAGCUGGUCUGAGAGGAUGACCAGCCACACUGGAACUGAGACACGGUCCAGACUCCUACGGGAGGCAGCAGUGGGGAAUAUUGCACAAUGGGCGCAAGCCUGAUGCAGCCAUGCCGCGUGUAUGAAGAAGGCCUUCGGGUUGUAAAGUACUUUCAGCGGGGAGGAAGGGAGUAAAGUUAAUACCUUUGCUCAUUGACGUUACCCGCAGAAGAAGCACCGGCUAACUCCGUGCCAGCAGCCGCGGUAAUACGGAGGGUGCAAGCGUUAAUCGGAAUUACUGGGCGUAAAGCGCACGCAGGCGGUUUGUUAAGUCAGAUGUGAAAUCCCCGGGCUCAACCUGGGAACUGCAUCUGAUACUGGCAAG
rnacentral:rRNA from 1 species